GACGAACGCUGGCGGCGUGCUUAACACAUGCAAGUCGAGCGGAAAGGCCCUUCGAGGUUCUCGAGCGGCGAACGGGUGAGUAACACGUGAGUAACUUGCCCCAGACUUUGGGAUAACCCUCGGAAACGGGGGCUAAUACCGGAUACGAAACAGCUUCGCGCGGGGUCUGUGUGGAAAGUUUUUCGGUUUGGGAUGGGCUCGCGGCCUAUCAGCUCGUUGGUGGGGUGAUGGCCUACCAAGGCGACGACGGGUAGCCGGCCUGAGAGGGCGACCGGCCACACUGGGACUGAGAGACGGCGCAGACUCCUACGGGAGGCAGCAGUGGGGAAUAUUGCCCAAUGGGCGGGAGCCUGUUGCGGCGACGCCGCGUGUGGGAUGACGGCCUUCUGGUUAUGAACCGCUUUCAGCUAAGACGCAGCUUAAGUGACGUUACCUGCAGAAGAAGCGCCGGCCAACUACGUG
rnacentral:rRNA from 1 species